CGCCGGAUUGGACGGAGGCGGCCGUGCGCGGGUCGCGGGGAAAACCCGGUCAUGUAGAGGAGGUGCUUUAACAGAGAGGAAAAAGUACGUGGGAGCCGGCGCCCUGCCAGGCUUGGUCUCUACUCACUGACACUGCGUCUCGUGCGACGAAAGUGUACUACUCUCCUCGUUCACUGCUCCUAGCCUCCUUUGGGAGGCUGUAAUUACUUACGGAUGUUGACCUUUAUCUCUUAGCUGCUUGAGAAUUUCACCUUGAGGCUGAUUGUGGAGUGUCUACAUGUUAGCAGCACUUGAGGGCUGCGGACUUUGGAGGAUUUCCUGAACAUGUUUCUCAGUAAGGAGUCUAGUGAGGGACAGAUUUCAGCAAGUUCCUGAGCAAUACUGAAUUAUUUUUCCAGAUGGCCUAUAGAGAAAUGUCUUUCAACAACCUGAAGAUUUGUGCUUGUACUUAUGGGAACAAAUUGUUCUGACUCAUUAACUCGUUCUACAUGAUACCAUGAUGGUGGAGAUGAUGCUACCUGCCCUUUGGGUUUGUGCCACCCACUCCCAGGAUGGACCAUCCCAUCAUCCACACCCAGGACUCUUCCAAACCAGUGAACUAAUUUAGUAGUUACACACCCUUAAUCCCAGUGUUGCACACACUAGUUCCAGCCUUCUCCAAAAAGCCCCUCCUUGACCACAUGAGGUGUUGGGGGACAUCUAGGUACAAACCCUGACAGUGUUAGUUUGAUGAUUAAUCCUGAAAGACAUCAAAAUAUUUCCAGAUGAUAUCCCUGUAAUACUAGAUCAGAGGAUAGCAACACAGGGCAGAGGCUUAUGAACCUGAAAUUGCCAUAUAGUGAAAACAGAAAUCAGUUUUCCACGGAAAAAAGAGAAGCAGAUAAUACUGGAAAAUUAGGAAGGCCAAAUGAAGAACAUUGUUCCUUUGGAAAUGUCCCUGGCAUCUUCUCCUGAGAAGCUGGGAUAACUUGCCCUCACGUGUCGACUCUGGCUUUGGCUAUGUCUGCCUGAACAGACAGGGUUUCGAGAUUAUCCCUUCACCUAGAGGUAGCAUUUACCUCGCUAGCGUGACUGAUGGUAUGUUUGCCAGGAGGUCCACCGAAGAUUAUUAGUUACUAAAGUAGUUACUGGGAUAAUUUAAGGGAUAUGUACUAUACCAGGAUCUAGAGAGCCGUGGAGAAGUCAUUGAAAUACAAAAGCCAUUUUCUUGAUUCCUUGUAUUGGCCAAUAUAAUAUAACCAAUAUAAUGACCCCAGUGUAAUGACGCCGUGCAUUGUAGUCAACUAGUUGCAAAUUCUGUACAUCAUUCUCUCACUAUUGCAAAUUUUACCUCUUUCAAGGUUAU